rnacentral:rRNA from 1 species
UACGUAGGGGGCAAGCGUUGUCCGGAAUCAUUGGGCGUAAAGCGCGUGUAGGCGGCCCGGCAAGUCCGCUGUGAAAGUCCAGGGCUCAACCCUGGGAUGCCGGUGGAUACUGUCGGGCUCGAGUCCGGAAGAGGCGAGUGGAAUUCCUGGUGUAGCGGUGAAAUGCGCAGAUAUCAGGAGGAACACCAAUGGCGAAGGCAGCUCGCUGGGACGUGACUGACGCUGAGACGCGAAAGCGUGGGGAGCAAACAGG